AGUCGAGCGGUAACAGAAAGUAGCUUGCUACUUUGCUGACGAGCGGCGGACGGGUGAGUAAUGCUUGGGAACAUGCCUUGAGGUGGGGGACAACAGUUGGAAACGACUGCUAAUACCGCAUAAUGUCUACGGACCAAAGGGGGCUUCGGCUCUCGCCUUUAGAUUGGCCCAAGUGGGAUUAGCUAGUUGGUGAGGUAAUGGCUCACCAAGGCAACGAUCCCUAGCUGGUUUGAGAGGAUGAUCAGCCACACUGGAACUGAGACACGGUCCACACUCCUACGGGAGGCAGCAGUGGGGAAUAUUGCACAAUGGGCGAAAGCCUGAUGCAGCCAUGCCGCGUGUGUGAAGAAGGCCUUCGGGUUGUAAAGCACUUUCAGUCAGGAGGAAAGGGUGUGAGUUAAUACCUCAGAUCUGUGACGUUACUGACAGAAGAAGCACCGGCUAACUCCGUGCCAGCAGCCGCGGUAAUACGGAGGGUGCGAGGGUUAAUCGGAAUUACUGGGCGUAAAGCGUACGCACGCGGUUUGUUAAGCGAGAUGUGAAAGCCCCGGGCUCAACCUGGGAACUGCAUUUCCAACUGGCAAACUACAGUGUGAUAGAGGGUGGUAGAAUUU
rnacentral:rRNA from 1 species